UUGCGGGGCGCUUGGGAUGUGCAGAAAAACACAUUUACAUUUCACACCAAGACACUUGAUGUGAGCACUCCGUAUUUGUUCAUGUGACCUGUCCAGUUCUGUGACAGUCACCUGGUCAUGCCCCCCCCCUCACUAGUAUUUCUGCUGAUUGGAAGACCUGUUACAGUAUAGACAAAUAUGUCUGUAAAACUGGUUGAUUUGUUCUAUUUGUUGUUGAUUAUGAUUUUAUUUGUGUCAUUUUCUGACCAUUCCCAUUUUCUGAAGCCUUUGUCCACCCAGCCCAGGCCCCAUCUUUAGACUGGACUGUGAUGGAGGAAUACAAACCCAGUGGGACAAGGCUGGAUGGUGGGACAAGGGGUGGAGGACUAGGGUGGGGUGUCCAAAAGCAACUGUGCAGUAGGUGUGGUGAUGCCUCGGUCAAAUUUGAAGGAGAGAUUACAUGAGAAAUGCAACAAGCUCUUUGCACCAGCAAUGCUACACAAAAACCCAUUUAAUGUGAUUUGAUUGUGGGACUCCCCCCCCCUCCCUUUACCCACCUUAGUCCAAACUCCAUUGUCCCGUCUUCUCAUUUGUUGUCUCUGUGGCUACCGCCGCCGGCCAAUCCUGUCUUCCUGGUUUGUCUUUUACGGCCCAACAGAGUUCUGUGUGCGGCACUGCUGCCCUGCCAUGUCCGUUUACAGUAAGUGUCUAAGCUCCACCCCUCAGUGUCACUCAUGGCCCGUGGCAUCACAAGCUCCACUACUCACCAGCAAUGUGGGAGGAGCCUCUGUAUAUUAUUCGCUCUGUCCUCCCUGCUUCAAGGGAGCAUCUUAGCAAAAGCUUAGUCUGUAUGUUUACACACACAGGACUUCACUGGGAGCGAUGCAAUGGCAUUAGAAGGAACUGGAUUGGUGGGUUAGUAACCGCUUUGGCUUGGUUGCCACAGUGACAGCUGAAGCUGCUUUUAAUGAGGGCAGACAUUACUGUCACUCAAGGUCAAGUUUGUGGUGUGGGGGGCUACUUGUUUUAGGUCAGUGCUGCCCUCCAGCAGAAGGAGUCUGGAGGGUGUCUCAUUUAGGUCAAUGCAGCCCUCUGGCAUUAGCAGUCAGGGGAGGAAGUGGGGGUGGCCCACUGGGCACCCCUUUAUGGUCACGUGGUGCCCACCAGGGACCGCCUGCGAGGCGCCAGUUAGAGCAAUAAAAUGGGUUGGGUUAAAAACAGCGAGGACAAUGUAAAAGCCCAUGUAGCAGAGAUGAACAUGAUGUUUAGAUAUGAAAACAAUGGGUGAAGUUCCCAGCAUGACGCCGGAGCAGGAUGACUACACAACUGCAUGCGGCCCUGCUCCAACAAUAUACUCUGUUUUCAAACAGAACAUUUUCCAGUAGAAGGAUCGAGGCUUGGUGGUGGCAACACUCAAUAUAUUCUAUGUUCCCUCGUGUUUGCCAGUUGUGGGGAUGACUUGAGUUUUCCCCCAACUUGGGUGGAAACAGCCCAUCAUACAAUGCACAGUUUUUAGAUAUAUUAAACAUAUUGGCCACAAAACCCAUAUGGCCUCGAGUACGUUCCCAUAGUUUUAUGGUGUCUUCGAAAUAGUACUAGCCUUCAACUAUGAGGGCAAUAAUUCUGUAUAAAUUAAAUUAUUUUAAUGUGUAGAUAAUUAUUACUAAUUUACUGGUAAAUUGAAGUGCUGGUGAUUUUAGCCAGAGUGCCCAUCCAUGGCAUUUGUUCAUAGUGACAAUGAGGAACGGAUGCCUUUUUUUGGCAUUAAGCGCUGCUAGCAUGGAGCACCAAUCAUAGGGCUGUAAAUACAGAAUAAUAACUAAGUAUGUUUUUAGAGAAUUCAUUACCAUGUGAACUCUAGUUUUUUAUGAUGACAACCUUGAUGAUAGCAAACAUCUGUAGAGUCAGUUAGCACUUUGAAAGCAUCUGAAGCCAUCAAACUUCACUUGAGAUUUACAUUUAUAUCUCUCUCUCACACACACACACUCAUCAGCGGAUUAUUAUAGUUUUAACUCUGACCAGAUUUAAGAAGGCUGCCCUUGGCCUAUUGGAACCCUUUGAGAAUGGAGGUGUGUUUGUGGCGGGGGGCUACAUGUUUGCUUAAAACCUACCUUCACAGACUACAUUUUAGUUUCAGUAAAUCCUAACGAUUUUAGGUAAACGUGUUGAAGUCUUAAUAAGGCCCUAGUCAGGAUGCGUUAUAUUUGGCACACCCAGCACUGUUGAUCUAUGCACAGACCCCUGAUCUCUGCACAUUGGUGUCAGUAAUGUCAGUGUUGCCCUAUCCUGAGAUGUUUUGUCUGAUUGUUAGGUUGCAUUGGCACGCCUCUGCUCUCCUCACGUCCAGCGCCAAACUGGGCUAAUGGCUUUUCAUAGGGGGGGCAGCUCUGUGAAAAUGUUAAGUGCUCUGUAGUUUUGGCUGACCGACAGCUUGUUCUGUAAGUGCUUGAGUAGGAGAGCAAAGAAUUCUGGGGUACAGUUGGGAAGCUGAUCACUGCUGCUUCUAAAUGAUAGGACUGUUGGAAUGGUUUGGCCCAGACUCCAAGGCUGUGAUGGAGUGCCAUUUCAGAUUGAAUCCUCGUGUACAAAUGGUGAUUCUGGGCCUUCACCCGUGUCACUGGGCUGAUGGUGAGUUUGGCCUUCAGGCGUGUCACUGGGCUGAUGGUGAGUCUGGCCUUCAGGCGUGUCACUGGGCUGAUUGUGAGUCUGGCCUUCAGGCCUGUCACUGGGCUGAUGGUGAGUCUGGCCUUCAGGCGUGUCACUGGGCUGAUGGUGAGUCUGGCCUUCAGGCGUGUCACUGGGCUGAUGGUGAGUCUGGCCUUCAGGCGUGUCACUGGGCUGAUGGUGAGUCUGGCCUUCAGGCGUGUCACUGGGCUGAUGGUGAGUAUGGCCUUCAGGCGUGUCACUGGGCUGAUGGUGAGUCUGGCCUUCAGGCGUGUCACUGGGCUGAUGGUGAGUCUGGCCCUCAGACGGACAGACAAAAGAAACGAGAAGAGGCACAUUGAUACAGAUGGAUUGAGCUGUGCCGUCUCACCGCUCUUUACCUCUUUCACCAAAUCAGGGAAGGGCAACAUUUUGACUUUAGGACCGUGUCCUGAUUUAGUUUUUUGUUUAUGUUGAAUAAGUUUGUGGGCAUUAAAACCGAAUCAUCACACUGCAGCCACCACCAAGUUGGACUGUUGAUGUAACAUUCUUAUUGUGGUUUUUGGUUUGGUUUUUGAAUGGUAUAACAGGACUAAACAUAUGAUUUUUUUAAAACCCCCUUUGAAUCAUCAGUCCAUAGAUCAUUAAGAACUCUUGACAGGUGCUUCCAGGUGAAUUAUUACAAUCUUUGUGAACGUUUCGAACAACGUGGUUGACAUUUGGUCUGGCGGAAACCAAAAACCUUAUUCCGUAGUAAGACACGGCCUGGUGGUGUGUUACAACUAUUUCAACACCACGUCUUUGGCACAGAUGUCAAGUUGUAACAGUGUUAGUGGGAUUCUUUGCUGUCUCCGGGCCUGGAGGAAUUGCCAUCAUCAAAGGAGCCAGGUUUAAUGUUUAAAGAAUUUGUCACAUAGAUGUAAAGCAGUUUGCCAAUGCAGUAUCUGUGUUAAGAUGCAUUUACAUAACAGUAAAACAUUCUAUGGCAGCUAUGUUAGCUUCCCAAUAACAUUACACGUGUAAUAUUUAAGUCUAGAAUUAGAACAAUGGUCAAAAUUCUACAUGUUGUUAUAUUGAUGUCUUUGGGGUUAGGAUAAUUUGCUUAACAUUUUCUACCGGACAAUUACAGCAAACAUUUUAAAUGGAAUGGUUGUCCUGUUCUGAUUUAAAAUAAUUGCUUGAAGUUAGAGGAGAAUCAAGAUGCAUUGUAAAGGUUAUUUUGGUUAGCCACCUAACUUUAACAUAAGUUGUUAGCUUCUGUUGGCUACAACUUGUGUUUUUGUUUGUUUUCUAAACCAACACCUUGGAAAAAUGUUGCUCAAGGCUGUGCCCAUAGUGGAUGUUUAAGCGAUAUACAUUUUGUUUUGCUUGCGCUAAUGCAUUAUUUUACCUGUUAACUUUAACAGUCCAAAUAGAAUACACAUACACUCAAACUUACUGUGCGCCAGAUUUAAUAGAAAAGCAAUGGUCAACCAAACAAACAAAGGCUGUGGCAAAAACACAUUUGUUUUGUUGACCUUUUCAUUAUACUUUUAUUUUUAUUUUUUUUACCCGGUACCCAAAUACUUUCUGAUAGCCCACUGUAAAAAUGUUCAGUUUAGCACACUGGUGACUUUAACAUUUUAGAGAUGUUUUUCACUGAUCUUAAAAAUGUUCUGUUUUUAUUUUAUUGAUUUGACAUUUAAGCCCUUGACAGAUGUUGUGUGGCCUGAUACGGUGAGAGAGACUCACGGCUAUAGGAAUUUGAAAUGUUUACUUGUGUAACGAGUCACAUUAUAGAACAAGUAUUCUGAUACACUGACACUUACCCUGCCCUGACCUAACAUCCAAUCCAGAGCCUGAAUUUUCUUGUUCACAGGGUUUAAGGGUUAGCAUGUUUAAAACAUAUCCAGAAAAAUCAUUUUUACAUCAGUUCUCAUACCGGAAAGAUGACGUUUUUAUUUUCUGUAAUGAAGUCUUGUUUGGCCUCAGAGGUUUCUCUCUUUGCUCAGGGUUUGGUGAAGAUCUUAACAUUAUAUCUGUAUAACUUAGAGAUUUAUUUUAAAAUGGUGAGACUGUGAGUGAAAAAAAGAGUUAUGAAAACAAUGAAUUUUGAGAUAUGAAAAUACCUGGAAUGGUGUGCUGUUUUUCUGCUUUUGCUGUUUUUGAUUUUCUUCUUUGCUUUCUUCCAAAUGCAUUCUGACAUGGCUUGCGGUAUUGCAACCUGUAGGGUUGGUAGACCAAAGAUUGUCAGGCACUUUAGUCAACCAUGUAAAUCAUAGAAUCCUUGACAAGAAAUAGCUGUUAAUCUUAAUCUAGUCACCGUUGUAGCACAAAUCAACUGUAGAUCUCCUCCCAUUCCCUGGGUAUGUGACCCUUGUCAUCCAUCCCAUCUCACGUUGUCAUCUUUGUCCUUCCUCCAGCCUGGUCCUCUUUGGGGGGGAUGUCCACCACUCAUACCUCAGUGAGGGCUUACCAUCUUGGGCUAACUAAAGACAGACUUUCGCUGCUUUGAUUUGACACAUAUCCAUACAGGGCCAGUCCCUUUUAUCAAGGGACUCUCAAGGGUCUGGGCGGAGGGGGUCAAGGGUGUGGCUCUCUGACUGGAAGCCAGUGGAUUUAAAUGAAGACUGAAAUCGAGUUGUAAAAACAAAAAGCUAAUAAAAUGUCAUUAACUGGGCCAAUGACGUUCAUGAUAAAAAUGUAAAUCAACAAUCGUGAAAAAAUUACAAUUACACUAGAUUGAAUUAGGACUUGGGGCAAAUUAUGUGUUGUCCAGAUUUAUUAGAAGUUUUGGGACAAUCCAUUGGAGUUUGCCUUUCAGAUAGGACUACAUGCAUAGAAAUAGAAAAAAAUAUAUAACAGACAAAUUGACUUGAAUGGGGACUCCUGUUGUGUUUACUCUAUUCUGAUGCACUUCAUUCAGUCCGGCAGCCAAAAUCCAGAUGGAUAAAUUAAAGAUAAAAAAAAAACAGGCCCUGGAUAUAGUGAUCUAAAUUGGUAUCCAGUGCCUUGGAGAGAUCUGUUUGUGAUACCCUCAAAGCUUGGUGUAUUCACCUAGAGCUGGCAGGCAGUGUUUACAGGUUGUGGCUGUAUUUCUUCUGAGGUCAAAAACAAAAGCAAACCCUUGGGGCGUUAUCAGACAAGGACGUGCCAGGUUUUAUCCAUUGCAUUGCAUACCUCCAUUCUCCCAUUAGAACAGCACUGUGUAUGGAUCCUGUGUAUGGAGUCCCCAUACUUGUAUCUUCUUUUUUUUAAGGCAAAAUGUGUGUCCACUCCUUCAGGGGUCUUCUGGUGUGUUUCUCUCUACAAUUGUCACAAUUUGGUUACAUUUUUAUACUAUACUGAAGUUUAGAAUUUGUUUGCUGUGCUUUGUUGUUUUUGGAUUCAGACCGCUGUCUCUGUCUCUCUGUCAUUACACAGUGUAUGUUAACGUAUUCUAUCCUGAAAGGGACUGUCGUCCUACUAGUCUGUCUCCAUGUUAUCUCUGGGCUUUGUCAUUUACUAUAAAUGCAGCUUCUUCACAACCUUCAACACUCCCUGCCUCCUGUUAUUUUUGAUAACAUAAUCAGAUUUUCUUUCAUAUAUAUUUAUAUAUCUGAUUUGAUAUAUACAUAUAUACAUUGUUUUGGUUUGUAGUGUGCCCUUCUUGAGGAAUUUCUUAUCUGAAAAGAGAAUGGGCUCAUAAAUUAAAUAACCUAAGCAUUAUUUGAGAGGAAUUAUUUUGUUGGAACUUGUGAAAUCAGACACCCCUUAAAGAAAAAUAAAACUGAUUUGAUGAAUCCUUUUAAACCGGAGUCUGUUAUUUUCUGUACGUCUUGCUUUUCACAAAGGAGUCUGGGCUGUUUUCAGUAGGCACGGAACUAAAAAUGCUUCAAAAUCAACGACCAGUCAGAAGUGAACAACCUGUUAGACUGUGUGAUUAUACUAUAAUCACACGGUUGUGCUGCAUAAUUAGACUCUCACUCAGCGAACAGGACCUGUAAAAGUACUGCACACAUCUUAUAAAAUGGCCGACUGUUGUGUCCAAUGUAAUCUCUUCUGUUCAUAUACGUGGAUUCAAGCGGGUUGCCAUCUGAUUAACAGCCCACAGCGGCAAUGUUGGGAUGACAUGUCAUCUGGAAACAGAGCAGACCGGUAGAAUACAAGAUGUUAUCGUCUUUGGCUGUAAGUGAUAAAAAGAAAAUUGGCUUUGAAAAUUAAGUCGAUAUCUUUGGGACAAGUAAUUUCCUCUUUCUGACAGUGGGAAUUUUUUUAAUUAUUGUUUUAACUUCAGUACACAAUGUCCAAAGUAAAGUGGACAGCACCCUAGCCUGGGGCCCUGGAGCAAACCGUUUAAAUGACAGCGAACAGUUUUGGGGAAGUGUGUUGUUAAUAACAUACCAUGAGACAAUGUGGGACACAAAUGUCUCUGUUUUUCCACUGGUUGAAUGUCAGAAGUGUCAUGCCCUCCUAGCCUGUGUCCAGGGUUGGGGAUGCAUGUAACUGACUACAGAAAACAAUAGAAUCCAAUGUUACCAGCAGAAUUAUUCUAAGCAGUACAGGUUUGCAUACCCUUCGAGAAUCGGUAAUAUAUGUACAAUUUGUAAAGAAAAUGUGAGUGAGCUGGCAAAACAUGUCUUUAAUUUCUCAUGGGAUUCAACUGUAGGUCAUAACAGAAUGGCACAAUAAUGAAACAAAACAAGGCAAUAAAGAAAAAAAAAUGAACUGACCCCUGCAUACCCUUAGUUCUUAAUGUGUAUUGGCCCCUUUAGCAUCAAUGACACCAUGCAGUAGUUUGUAAUAGUUGUCUAUGAGGCCCCGAAUUCUUGCAGGUGGUAUAGCUGCCCAUUUGUCUUGGCAAAAUGCCUCCAGGUCAUGCAGUCUUUGAUCGUCUUAAAGGAAACGCACGUUUGAGAUCUCCCCAGAGUGGCUCGAUGAUAUUAAGGUCAGGAGACUGUGAUGGCCACUCCAGAACCUUCACCUUUUUCUGCUGUAACCACUGGAGGGUCAACUUGGCCUUGUGCUUAGGGUCAUUGUCAUGCUGGAAAGUCUAAGAAUGUUCCAUGCGCAGCUUUCAUGCAGAAAAAGGAUGAUUCUCUGCCAGUAUUUUCUGAUAACAUGCUGCAUUCAUCUUGCCAUCCAUUUUUACAAGAUUCCCUGUGCCUUUAGAGCUCACAUAUCCCCAAAACAUAAGUGAGCCACCACCAUGCUUCACAGUGGGGAUUGUAGUCUGUUCACUAUAGGCCUUGUUUUCCCCUCUCCAAACCAAGGAAACCAGGUUGUGACCAUAAAGCUCUAUUUUGGUCUUGUCACUCCAAAUUACAGUGUGCCAGAAGCUGUGAGGCGCGUCAAAAUGCUGUCAGGCAUAUUGUAACCAGUCUUUUUUGUGGCAUUGGCGCAGUAAAUGCCUCUUUCUGGCAAAUUCACCAUGCAGCUUAUUUUUGUUCAUAUAACAUUGUUUUGUGCUCCUUGAAACAACCACACCGUCUUUUUCCUGAGCAGCCUGUAUUUCUCCUGAGGUUAUCGGUGGGUUUUUCUUUGUAUCCCGAACAAUUCUUCUGGCAGUUUUAGCUGAAAUAUUUCUUGGUCUACCUGACCCUGUGUGACGUGGUGACGGUAGUGGAGGAACCAGGCGCAGGCGAAUAUACUCGAUGUAGUUGGUUUUAAUUAGAAAACAAACACAGAGCACACAAAACAAACUUAAGGAAAACAAAGGCGCUGAAUCUUUACGCAGCAACCGAAACACUCACCAGUUACAAGUAGCACACAGACAGCAACAACAAUGAUUGACAAAUGUGGGGAGCAGAGGGGAAACAUUUAAACACAUACUAACGAGAUGACUGGGACCUGGUGUGAAUAGUUGAAGACAUGUGACACGAAGACAAGUCCGGGAUGCGUUUGUGGAGUGAUGGGAACUGGAGGUGUACGGGACGGUGGCACUGAUCCUCACCGCACCGUGACACCAUGGCUUGGUAUCAAGAGAUCCCUGAAUGUCCCACUUCUUAAUAAGUGAUUGAACAGUACUGACUGGCAUUUGCAAGGCUUUGGAUAUCUUUUUAUAUCCUUUUCCAUCUUUAUAAAGUUCCAUUACCUUGUUACGCAGGUCUUUUGACAGGUCUUUUCUGUUCAGUAUCUAGCCUGCUCAGUGCAUCCAUGUGAGAGCUAAAAAACUCAUUGACUAUUUAUACACAGACACUAAUUGCUAUUUAACAUUGCAAUUCACCUUUAAUUGCCAUUUUCACAUGUGUGUGUCACCCUUUGUGUCUGUAACAUGGCCAAACAUUCAAGGGUAUGUAAACUUUUGAUCAGGGCCAUUUGGGUGAUUUCUGUUAUCAUUAUGAUUUAAAAAGGAGCCAAACAACUAUGUGAUAAUAAAUGGCUUCAUAUAAUCACUAUGCUUGAAUAAAAGACAGUUUUUAAAAAUCAGUGCCAAAAUUUCACAAUUUCUACCAGGGUAUGCUCAUGAGCACAACUGUAUAUUGUUUAUAUUUGCUUAUUCAUAC
ensembl:lncRNA